CGUAGGAAAGCAUUUUUCAAUGCUUUCCUAUGGACACUCUGCGUGAUUGAGGCAUAAUAUGCCUCAAUCAUUGCCGAUGCGCCUCUAGUGGCUGUCCGGAAGACAGCCACUAGAGGCUGGCUUAACCCCAGAUGUAAACAUAGCAGUUUCUCACAAACUGCUAUGUUUACAUCAGGCAGGGUUAACCCUAGAGGGACCUGACACCCAGACCACUUAAUUGAGC